rnacentral:rRNA from 1 species
CCUACGGGCGGCUGCAGUGGGGAAUAUUGGACAAUGGGCGAAAGCCUGAUCCAGCCAUGCCGCGUGUGUGAAGAAGGCCUUCGGGUUGUAAAGCACUUUCAGUGGGGAAGAAAGCCUUGGGGCUAAUACCCUCGAGGAAGGACAUCACCCACAGAAGAAGCACCGGCUAACUCCGUGCCAGCAGCCGCGGUAAUACGGAGGGUGCGAGCGUUAAUCGGAAUUACUGGGCGUAAAGCGCGCGUAGGCGGUCUGAUAAGCCGGUUGGGAAAGCCCCGGGCUCAACCUGGGAACGGCAUCCGGAACUGUCAGGCUAGAGUGCAGGAGAGGAAGGUAGAAUUCCCGGUGUAGCGGUGAAAUGCGUAGAGAUCGGGAGGAAUACCAGUGGCGAAGGCGGUCUUCUGGACUGACACUGACGCUGAGGUGCGAAAGCGUGGGUAGCAAACAGGAUUAGAUACCCCAGUAGUC